GGGGGUUUAGCUCAGCUGGGAGAGCGCCUGCUUUGCACGCAGGAGGUCAGCGGUUCGAUCCCGCUAGUCUCCACCA
rnacentral:tRNA from 1 species